rnacentral:pre_miRNA from 1 species
AAAGUACUCCCUCCAUCCCAAAAUUCUUGUCUUAGAUUUGUCUAGAUACGGAUGUAUCAAGUCACAUUUUAGUAUUAGAUAUAAAGACAAGAAAUUUGGGACAGUGGGAGUAGUUG